AGUUUCAGGAUCCGCCCGGUUGACGUGUGUGUGCUGGACGGUUGCGUAGACCACUUUCUGGUUUUGGUCUGGAGAGCUGGUCCGUACUGAUCCAGGGGCAGAUCGGGGAGGAACCAUGGAGCAACCCUGAAAACUGCUCUGGAACCUGGAUGUCCUGGCCGUCGGCAGAGUCCUGGCUGCGGCUGCCACUGCUCCUCCUGUGGUCUUCAAGGGGAUGAAAAUGGGAGGGGGGGGCAGGAAAUUAAAAACAUGGAAGCAGCAGCAAAAUUCCAGCUCUCCCCCUGCCCUCCCUCAGCAAGGGAGGGAGAGAUAAAGAGAGAACAGUUCAGUAUUGUUCUGCAUGCUCAACUUGUACCCAAAGUCAUGGCAUUUAUGAAAUUCCAAACACUGGCCUGAUUUAUGCAAUCUG